GGUCCUGUAGUCUAGUUGGUUAGGACGUCGGAUUCUGAUAGCAAUUGUCAGUUCUUCCGUAAGCCCAGGUUCGAAUCCUGGCAGGACCU
rnacentral:tRNA from 1 species